rnacentral:rRNA from 1 species
AGAACGAACGCUGGCGGCAUGCCUAAUACAUGCAAGUCGAACGAACUCUUCGGAGUUAGUGGCGCACGGGUGCGUAACGCGUGGGAAUCUGCCCCUUGGUUCGGAAUAACAGUUGGAAACGACUGCUAAUACCGGAUGAUGACGAAAGUCCAAAGAUUUAUCGCCAAGGGAUGAGCCCGCGUAGGAUUAGCUAGUUGGUGAGGUAAAGGCUCACCAAGGCAACGAUCCUUAGCUGGUCUGAGAGGAUGAUCGGCCACACUGGGACUGGGACACGGCCCAGACUCCUACGGGAGGCAGCAGUAGGGAAUAUUGGACAAUGGGCGAAAGCCUGAUCCAGCAAUGCCGCGUGAGUGAUGAAGGCCUUAGGUUGUAAAGCUCUUUUACCCGAGAUGAUAAUGACAGUAUCGGAGAAUAAGCCCCGCUAACUCCGUGCCAGCAGCCGC